rnacentral:lncRNA from 1 species
GGCGCGGGCAGGGCUCAGUCCCGGGGCUGCUUCCGGGGAGCCCCGCGGUGGCUGAGCCCCUGUCGCCCGCAGGAAGCGGAGUCUCAGGCGGACGUGCAGGGCCCCGGGGCCAGUGGGGACGAGUUCAGGUUCCCGUGCUACCGCUGGGUGGAGGGCGCUGGCAUCCUGAGACUGCCCGAGGGCACCGCAGAAUGAGGAUCUCCUGGUGCCAUCGCUGGCGUGGAGGAGAGCGAAAUAAAAGUUCGCGUAAGAUUCGGACUGCCCAGGGGCCCAGGGCGUUGCCAUUUUAAGUUGUCCUUCUCCAUUUUGGGGAAGAACAGGGAGCGAUUUGUCUUCUGAAUUUGGAGGCAU